AAAUCUAGUUGCUCAUUAUUGUCCGUAACCGGGGACACGGCUAAGUACUUAGUUUGACACUCUCGAGAGGUUGUUCACUUUACCCACAAGAAAUCGACGUGUUAAUCCCUUGCUGUCCUCAGGGUAGAGUAGCAACAGCAUCGAUUACAAGAAUUUUCAGAACAUAAUUCCCCACACCACCUGAGGGACGCGCCCCCACCUACACUGCUACAAACCGAUGUCACCUCGGAUCCAGGUUCAUAUUUCUUACUCCAUCAAGCCAGAGCCCAUUUAGCAUGUGGUUGUACUGAAAGCUACUAAACAGGAAAACUAGUCCAGCCUCUGGUUAUCUCGGGUGGCAUCCCACAUUUGCGACGCAGACGCUCCCAUAGACAUGGAGAGACGACUCAUAGAAAUGCACCUGACGCCGCAUACAUCUCAAAUACUCAAAGCAGCCCACCCAGGAUGAUUCAUUAGAGUUGUUUUGCCAGAUUUCCAAAAUACUCCACAAUAUUAGUUUCAUGAUAAUUGAGAUUCCCUCCCACGUUUACUAACAUAGCAUUGUUAGAGUUGAUCUCCCAAUCGUGUGGGCCCAACGGCCCAUCGGGCCUAGAUCUGACGCGCCCUGAUCGGGGGCGCCCAACCCAAUAUGGUUGGCGGGCCCCUGUCGCGCUGCGCAUAUAUAAAGAGGUGGGGGGCCGGGGCACGCACUACGAGGUUCGCUGCGUUGCCGUCCGCCCCACCGAAAUACUCUACCGAUCUAGGGCUUGCGCAGACCGUGACGGGAAGCUCCGCCGUCACUCACCGCCGUCGUCUCUCCCUCGCCGUCGACAUGGCCGCCCCGUCGAGCUCCUCGUCGUCCCAAAGUGAAGGUACCUCGCGUUCUACUCUCUCUCUCUCUCGAUCCCCUUACCCGUACCAAGUUUAUUCACAGAACUCUUACUACCGAUGAGAUCUACACCUAAUUGAUAAAAGUAUUCUAACAUUGGUAUCAGAGCCGAUCUCUAGGCUUGUAGAUCCGUCGGAAAAGAGAAAGAAAACAGAAAAGAAAAAAAAGGGAAGAAAAGCAAAUGAAAAGAAACCCUAACCCUAGCUUUUCCUGGCAAGGAGAAGAGAAGCCGCCGGAGGCCAUGGCCGUCGCCGUGGUCUUCGCCGGGAAAGAGGUGCCGCCGUGAGCCGCUUGACGGCGGCACGCACACCGUCGAGUGCACGCGCUCGCCGGCAAGGGGGCCACGGGCGGCGCCACAAUGCCGGAGGGGCUCCAAGC
rnacentral:lncRNA from 1 species